rnacentral:rRNA from 1 species
UACAGAGGUCUCAAGCGUUGUUCGGAUUCAUUGGGCGUAAAGAGCGCGCAGGCGGUCGUACAAGUCGCGUGUGAAAGCCCCCGGCUCAACUGGGGAGGGUCACGCGAUACUGUUCGACUCGAAGGCAGGAGAGGGUAGUGGAAUUCCCGGUGUAGUGGUGAAAUGCGUAGAUAUCGGGAGGAACACCAGUGGCGAAGGCGGUUACCUGGAGCUUUGCUGACGCUGAUGCGCGAAAGCGUGGGGAGCGAUCCGG